rnacentral:lncRNA from 1 species
UUUUUUUUUUGUUAUUUUUUGAAUGCAUUCGUCACAUAUAGAUAGCUUAUUUGCAUUGUGCAAAAAAAAUUGUAGUCUCAAUGAUGAUGCAUACAUGUCAACGAUGGGUGUUGGCUCCAACAAUUCGCAUUGGUCUCAAACCAAUGACAUGCAUUUUCAAGACCAUGAGUUCGAGGUGGACGAGGAGGGUGAGGGCAUUGUCGACGCACCGAAAGGAAGAGCGGGCAAUUACACCAACACCGAUGACAUCUUACUAUGCAAUACUUGGUUGCAAGUGUCGAGGAAUCCAUCCGUUGGAGGUGAUCAAAGUAGAGAUGCUUAUUGGAACCGGAUGAAGGAACACUUUGAUGAUCGCAACAUGAGUGGAAUUGACCGCUCCAACCGAUCACUUAGGUCCCGGUGGUCGACAAUCAACUCAGAUUGUCAAAGGUGGGCGGCUUGUCAAAAGGCGGUUGACAAGUUGAACCCAAGUGGCACAAAUGAGGACGAUAGAGUAAGUGUCAUUUCAUCUUACAUGUUGGUGCUAAACUUGCUUUGUUUUGCUUGUUGUUGGUGCUAACUUGCUUUGUUUUCAUGUAGUACAACUUUACGCAAAACUUGUUCAAAAAAGAGGAGAGGAAAACCAAGAAGGGGAAGAUCAAGAAAGGAAGAGUCUUUACUUUGCCUCAUUGCUAUGAUGUGUUGAAGGAUGAUGAGAAAUGGAAGAAGCGUGAAGAUUUGGAUGAUUUGCAUUUGAGCGACAAACGGAAGCGAACAAUUAAGUUGGAUGAUGAUGAUGAUGAGGAUGAUGCAUCAAGUGAUGACGGCAAGAGAAGCCCCACACCCAACUCGGUUUCAUACUCGAAGCCAAAGCGGCCGGAUGGGUGCAAGAAAGACAAAACCGAAAAGAAGAAGAGGAAAGGAGAUAAUGAGCUCAAAAAUGCUAUGGAAGCUAUUGUGAAGGCAAGAAAAGAAGCCAACGAGGUGAGGAAAAUGGCAAGGACCCAAGAUGCCGUGGCCGAGGAGAGAAGGUUGGCGGCCGAGGAGAGGAGGGUGGCGGCCGAGGAGAGGAAGGUGGCUUUGGAGGAGAGGAGGGUGGCGGCCGAGGAGAGGAAGGUGGCUUUGAAGGAGAGAAAGGUGAGCAAUGAGGAGCGAACUAGAUUGUUGGAAUGGGAGAAGCACUUGUUCUUCUUGGACACAACUAACCUCAAUGCGGCGCAAAAGGAGUAUGUCAAUCUUGCCCAACAAGAAGUCUUGAUCCAAAAAAGAGCCAUGGUUCGUGCAAUGGGUGGCGGUGGCAUCGGCACCAUGGGUGGCGGUGGCCUCGGCGCCAUGGGUGGCAUGGGUGGCUUGGGUGGCGGUGGCUUCGGCGCCAUGGGUGGCAUGGGUGGCUUGGGUGGCUUUGGAGCACCCCCGACGCUAUGGCCACGAUGGGAGGCAUGAGUUUUGCUUCUCUCAUGGGAGGCAUGGGUGCACCUCCGGCCGCCAUGGGCGGAAUGUCUUUCGAUGAGCCUCCUCGCACACAUUCCCAUGAAGAUGCCGUUGAAGAUCUUGCCAACACCGUCGGAGCUUCACGUGAUGCGGUGCGCGGUGAGGAGAGGGAGGAAGAUUCAUCUUCGGAGGUGGAAGAAUCGUCUUCCGAAGAUGAGGACGAGGACGAAGACGAGGACAAGGACAAGGAAUGAUGUAUCUUUCCUUUGUGUAUUGAACUUGAUUUGCAUUUUGAACUUGGUUGGAUGAACUUGUGGGCAUGAUUUUAAACUUGUGGGCAUGAACUUCAUCAACUUGUUUGUGUGAAAUUUUUAUUGUGUUAAAAAUGUGCAUCAUUUUGUGUUGAAAUAUGCCAUAUGCAAUGCACCGGCGAGUCGCGCGCGUUGCAUUUUGGCGCGCUGCUGGAGCGAUGCGCGCGCGCUGCUGGAGCGACGCGCGCGCGCUAUAUUUUAGCGCGGCCGCGCCAAACCAACCGAUGCGCGUACGGCAUAUAUGUUUUUUGCGCGCGGCACGACCGGCGCCUAUUGAAGAUGCUCUAAUAUUUUGAGGUUGGUAGGCGAUGGGGCAUGAAUUUUUCACCAUUCACCCAUAACCUCAAACCCACCAUAGAGAUACGAAUUUUCCGUAGACCACCACUGAUUUUCUUUUCUCUACUUUUUUUUGCGAGGUUAUACCGCCGUUCUUAUCAAAGAAAACAUGGCUUUGAGCUGCAAUGACCAUAUCCCUCAAUCCAAACAUUGCCUUGACAAUAAGUCCAAAAUAGUUGCCUAGAAGAGAAUGUGCUGGCAAAUGCUUUGGUGCUAACAGUUUUUGUUCUUCCAGAAACGCACAGCUGUGGGUUAUUAUCUGGCACGAACGGCCAAAUGCAUGCAUCAAAGCAUCCACCUCCACAAAAUGUAAAAAAAAAAUAGCUCGAGUAAACAAAUGGAGUAGCCCUUUAAUUCAUAGCUAUCUGAUCUUUUACUAGCUACUAUAUCCUUUUUUUCUCAACCCAAGGUAUGUCAUUAUGAGCACCACUAGCAUCGAAAGCCUGUGCUCUGCCGAACUUGUGAAUCUUCUCAAAGUAACAAAAUAUGCUACUGUAUGGACUAUUACUCCUUGAAAGGAACAUUGCCCAGUGCUCUAUUCAUAGCACAGGACUAUCCCCCAAUAUGGCAACUGGUACAACCAACCUCGUAAAUGCAAAGUUACCCAGUAGCCAAGUUGAUUUGUCAAUAAAAAUGUUGCUGCCAACAUCCCAGAUCUAUGGCACAGGGGUCAAUAUAAGGUAAGCAGAUUCAAUGACUGAACUAAACAGAAAUGUACAACUACCAGAUAGCUUUCAUGUAGCUUUAGGGCCUUGGUAUUGCGUGUAAGCGUGCUCUGUUUCUUGCUACAUGUUUCAGUUGAGGAUUAUCCUUCAAAAGAAGGGGAUUGCUAACUGGGGACUUUAGAAACACCCUCAUAAUUACAAAGAUCUGUAUGGCGAAAUACGACAACGACAACAACACUUAGUCGUGACUGAAGGGGUUGGGGCAGAUCUGAAGGUCCAAACAGCGCUCAUUCUGUUGUUAAGACGAUAUAUAUUCACAUGCGAUCGGCCAUCCGUGGAG